rnacentral:rRNA from 1 species
AGUGAACGCUGGCGGUAGGCCUAACACAUGCAAGUCGAACGGUAGCACAAUAAGAGCUUGCUCUUACGGGUGGCGAGUGGCGGACGGGUGAGGAAUACAUCGGAAUCUACUUUUUCGUGGGGGAUAACGUAGGGAAACUUACGCUAAUACCGCAUACGACCUACGGGUGAAAGCAGGGGAUCUUCGGACCUUGCGCGAUUGAAUGAGCCGAUGUCGGAUUAGCUAGUUGGCGGGGUAAAGGCCCACCAAGGCGACGAUCCGUAGCUGGUCUGAGAGGAUGAUCAGCCACACUGGAACUGAGACACGGUCCAGACUCCUACGGGAGGCAGCAGUGGGGAAUAUUGGACAAUGGGCGCAAGCCUGAUCCAGCCAUACCGCGUGGGUGAAGAAGGCCUUCGGGUUGUAAAGCCCUUUUGUUGGGAAAGAAAAGCAGCAGGUUAAUACCCCGCUGUUCUGACGGUACCCAAAGAAUAAGCACCGGCUAACUUCGUG